rnacentral:rRNA from 1 species
UGCCAGACUCCUACGGGAGGCAGCAGUGGGGAAUAUUGCACAAUGGGGGGAACCCUGAUGCAGCGACGCCGCGUGGGUGAAGAAGUAUUUCGGUAUGUAAAGCCCUAUCAGCAGGGAAGAAAAAAAUGACAGUACCUGAAUAAGAAGCCCCGGCUAACUACGUGCCAGCAGCCGCGGUAAUACGUAGGGGGCAAGCGUUAUCCGGAAUUACUGGGUGUAAAGGGAGCGUAGACGGCAAUGCAAGCCUGGAGUGAAAGCCCGCGGCCUAACCGCGGGACUGCUUUGGGAACUGUGUGGCUGGAGUGCAGGAGAGGUAAGUGGAAUUCCUAGUGUAGCGGUGAAAUGCGUAGAUAUUAGGAGGAACACCAGUGGCGAAGGCGGCUUACUGGACUGUAACUGACGUUGAGGCUCGAAAGCGUGGGGAGCAAACAGGAUUAGAUACCCGAGUA